AGUGAACGCUGGCGGUAGGCCUAACACAUGCAAGUCGAACGGCAGCACAGUAAGAGCUUGCUCUUACGGGUGGCGAGUGGCGGACGGGUGAGGAAUACAUCGGAAUCUACUUUUUCGUGGGGGAUAACGUAGGGAAACUUACGCUAAUACCGCAUACGACCUACGGGUGAAAGCAGGGGAUCUUCGGACCUUGCGCGAUUGAAUGAGCCGGUGUCGGAUUAGCUAGUUGGCCGGGUAAAGGCCCACCAAGGCGACGAUCCGUAGCUGGUCUGAGAGGAUGGUCAGCCACACUGGAACUGAGACACGGUCCAGACUCCUACGGGAGGCAGCAGUGGGGAAUAUUGGACAAUGGGCGCAAGCCUGAUCCAGCCACACCGCGUGGGUGAAGAAGGCCUUCGGGUUGUAAAGCCCUUUUGUUGGGAAAGAAAAGCAGCAGGUUAAUACCCCGCUGUUCCGACGGUACCCAAAGAAUAAGCACCGGCUAACUUCGUG
rnacentral:rRNA from 1 species